rnacentral:hammerhead_ribozyme from 1 species
AUCCAGCCGAUGAGUCCUAAAGAGAACGAAACGCGCAUCCUGGAU